UAAAGCAGGCCCUUUACUGGUACAACAACAUGGUGAUAAAAUGAGACCGGUCGCAUAUUACUCCUCUAAACUAGAUAGUGUGGCGUGUGCGUUGCCUCACUGUGUGAGGGCUGUUAUUGCUGCUUCCAUGGCUGUCGAAGUUAGCACUUCUAUUGUACUAUUCCAUCCAUUAAUGCUAAAAGUACCACGCGCGGUAUCAGCACUAUUGUUACAGACAAAUAUGACCUUUUUAUCACCUGCAAGACACCUCUUGUGUAUGUCCACCCUGUUGUCUCAGCCUCAUCUGACCAUUGAGAGGUGCACAGUGUUAAAUCCUGCAACACUGUUACCUGUCACAGAUGAUGGCACAAAACAUGACUGUCAGGAACUAGCUGAACAAACAGCUAGAAGUAGAAGUGAUCUAAAAGAUUUACCAUUAGAGAAAGGUGAAAUACUUUUUGUAGAUGGUUCCUCAAAGAAAGACGAACUAGGAAAAACUCAAACUGGGUAUGCAGUGGUAACUGAUAAGACUGUGCUGAAAGCUGAAAAGCUCCCCUCACAUUACUCGGCACAAGCAGCAGAAUUAAUCGCACUUACCACAGCUUGUAAACUUAUGAAGGAUAAAACAGUAACGAUUUAUACUGACAGUCAGUAUGCCUUUGCAACUGUUCAUACCUUUGCACAAUAUUGGAAACAUAGAGGUAUGGUAACAUCAACAGGAAAGCCAGUGACACAUGCAGAAUUGUUAAAAGAAUUACUUGAAGCUGUACAACUCCCUAAACAACUAGCAAUCUGCAAAUGUGCGGCACACACUGCGGGGACAGACAAAGUGUCCCUGGGGAAUGCGUUCGCUGAUAAGAUGGCAAAACAAGCAGCGGCAGGAAAAGUAACAGUGUUGCACCUAGAAGAAAACUCAAUCUUAUGAUCAAAAGUUUUACGUGAAAUGCAACAGGCAAGUCCACAAAAUGAAAAAGACUUAUGGAUAAAGAAAGGAGCAACAAUAAUUGAUGAUAUCUAUAAAAGCUCUGAAAAUAAACCUAUUUUACCAAAAAAUCUAUAUAAAUGGGCUGCAAUAUCGAGCCAUGGUGUGUCGCAUGUCUCGACAGGGGGAAUGGUCGGACAAGUACAUCAACAUUAUACUACUUAUGGAUUUAUUUCUUAUUCGAAAACUUUUUGUAGAACUUGUUUAAUCUGCGCAAAACACAAUUCUCAAGGUAAUCUAAGACCGCGUAGAGGAAAAUUUCCAAACCCACAAUACCCAUUCCAAGUUAUGCACAUGGACUUUAUAGAAUUAAAUAAAAGUGAAGGGAAAAUGUAUUGCUUGGUGAUAAUUGAUGCCUUCUCUAAGUGGAUUUAACUUUUUCCAACCAAAAGCCCGGAUGCCUCAACGGUAGCAAAAGCGCUCUGCAAAGACUUAAUUCCUAGAUAUGGGAUUCCUGAGAAAAUAUAUAGUGAUAAUGGCACUCAUUUUGUAAAUCAAAUUAUAAAGAAAAUCGGAAUUAUGUUUCACAUAGAUCUAAAAAAAAUCACUGUGGCUACCAUCCUCAGAGUGCUGGGUUAGUGGAGAGGAUGAACGCUACAAUUAAAAACAGACUAAAAAAAUGUAUUGAAGAAACCAGUAGGCCCUGGACACAAUGUUUAGAUUUGGUAAAAUUAUACAUUAACAUUACAAGUACAUCAGGGCUUACACCUUUUGAAACAUUGUUUGGAAGGCCGUACAGACUGCCGCAUUUUAAAAAUCAAUGGGAAAUGGAUGAGGAAGCUAAUUUAGCUGAUUAUAUGAGAACCAUGUUAGAAAAACAGAGACAAAAAGAAACUGAGAAUCCUCCUUCUGUGUCCCAGCAGGAAGAUCUAUUAGUGGAGCCUGGAGAUUGGGUGCUGAUAAGGAGCAUAAAGAAGAAACACUGGUAUUCUCCAAAGUGGGACGGACCAUACCAGGUGCUGCUGACUACUCCCACAGCUGUAAAAAUAGCAGAAAGGUCAACUUGGGUUCACCUGUCACAUUGCAAAAAGGUAAUUUCAGCUCAAAAGUAAAAAAAAAAAAAAAAAAAAGGAGAGAAUAAGUUCCGGAGGCUCAUUGACCUACAGGGCAAAAAGGCCAGCGUACAAAGGGGGCCAAACCGAAUAGUUUGACCGUCUCAAAACUGGUGAAGAUUGUCCACAACCCUGGAGCAUCCUUAGGAGCCGAACGAACUUACAAAUUACUGAAAUGACGAACAAAAGUGUUAUUUUUAUUUUUAUUUUAUGUUCCUAUCUGAGACAAACGCAUGGCGUUACUGAUCACAAAUAUCCUUGCAACACUGCUAAUGGAAUGAGAGUAGGUAUCCAGGUAUGCUUCUCACCAAAUUCAGUGGUCGUGGUUUCAAUCUCCUGGGCAAGCAUACCAUCAGCAGAUUACAGGGAUUACACUUGGUAUAUGACAAAUGACGUUCUUAACACUAACUGGGACACUCUAGUGGCAGACGAAGAAAAUAAAUGGACAAAAGACUGGGGUACUACUGAGUACGCGCAGCACCAAAAACGAAUAUUUAGUAUUUCACAUACAGAUGAUGGGAUACAGAUAGGCAUAAACACAACCACAUAUUCCCUUAUUCCACCUACGAUAAAGAAGAAAGACUCUGACGCAACAUGCUGGGGAUUUUACUUGUGGGCUUAUACAUCAGGACCUGAUCCAAAAUUUUUAGUAAAUCUCUGUGAAGAGACUAAAGAAGGUGGAGGAAGCACUACUUCUCCAUGGACAAAAGGGGUAAAAGUUAAGGAAGUAGAAACAGUCGACGACUGGUUCAAAGUAAGCACAGGUGUGUCAGGACUAAGUAAUAACUGGUUAUUACUGGUAGAACAGGCUGCUAAAACAGCGAAGCAAGAUUGUGUGGCGUGUAUGGAACCAAGGCCUUUACUGCGUAUAACACCAGCAACUAUUACCAAACAAUGUCUACUAGAAGUGAUGAGUAAAACUAAUCCUAAUAGCACGUGUAGGAUUUAUGAUUCAAUAUUUCCUCUUGCAGCAGUUGAUGGAACAAAACCUGUCUUCUCUAAAAGAGUAGCUCCGGGUAAUUUCACAUGCAUCAACAUAACAGGGAGCGGGAAAAAAUUAGGGAAUCCUGCUGGCAUAACGUGCACUGACGUUCUCUCUGUAAAAAAUGACUUUAACCCUGUUUCUCGUGCAGAUGUCUGGUGGUGGUGUGGCGAUGACAAACUUUUUGAUAGGUUACCCCGGAAGGUGACAGGUCUUUGUGCUCUAGUUUCUUUGUUGUUACCUGUUUCUGUUUAUCCUAUUUCUGCAACACAACUAAUCGAUGUUCUGUCUCAGCAGCAGCAUCACUUGCAGAAACGAGAGCUGAAGUGGGGAACUGAUGUCACAACAUACAUCGAUGCCAUCGGAGUCCCUCGUGGUGUGCCUGAUGAGUACCAAAUUGCAGCAGGGUUUGAAUCUACAAUUCGUUGGUGGUAUACUAUAAACAAAAACGUAGACAGGAUCAACUACAUUCACUACAAUGUGCAGAGACUAGGCAACUGGACACAGACCGGGUUUGAGGCGGUUCAUGAGCAGUUGUCUGCUACUUCACUGAUGGCUUUCCAAAACCGUAUCGCUCUUGACAUGGUGCUAGCUGAAAAAGGGGGGGUGUGCAUUAUCUUUGGAGAAAGAUGUUGUACAUAUCUGCCAAAUAACACAGCUGCCGAUGGGAGCUUGACGAAGGCCAUUACGGGGCUCCGGACCCUGAAUGGCAAAAUGAAGGAAGCCUCUGGAAUAAACACUUCCAUGUGGGAUCCAUGGUUGGAUGUGUUUGGCAGGUACCGAACCCUUGUGUCCUCUGCUUUAGUGUCGAUGGCAGUCUUUGCUGCCAUUUUAACCUUGUGUGGGUGCUGUUGUAUUCCUUGUCUGCGUUCUUUGUUUAACCGUCUCAUCACCACAGCAAUCUCACCCAUGGAGGACCAGAUGGCACAGAUGUAUCCUUUGUUGCUCAAAGAUGCUGAAGCUGACACAGAAUCCUCAGAGAAGGUGCUCCCUGACUCGUAUUUGGACUUAGCUUCUUGGUCUGAGUACAACCCUUGAGUGUAAAAAUAUUUGCGUUCCUAAAAAUGAACUCCCAGCUGAAAAUCGUUUGAAGUGGCUGCUUUAGGAGGGAUGUGAGAUUUGGAACAAAUAUUUGAUAAACAGGGGGGAAUGUUGGGUAAAUUGUAUUAUUAUCAACUACUUGUUAUACUUUUAUUAUGUUCUUACCUUAUGUACUCUUAUUUGUUUAAGUCAUGUCUUUUAAGAAAUGCUUCUGUAUUGUUAACCAUUCUGAUUUCCUUUCUCAGAGGGCUUCUCUGAUGAAGAGCAGUGAGAGCAGCUCUUCACAGAACGCCAUACUUCUGACCUCUCAGAUAGCUGUAAAUUCAUCGGUGUGAAGAUGUACAACUUGCUCUGUUUGACCCUGUGUCAGGGACUGGAGAAUCUAGAUUAAGACAGAUUGUGUUGUUAGUUAGUGAUAACCAUUGGCGCUGUAACUGUGUGAAGUGUUUUUCUUCCCCUCCCUUUAGAGUUACAGCGCUCUCUGUGAUUAGGGAUCCUAAAGACAAUAAAAA